rnacentral:rRNA from 1 species
GACGAACGCUGGCGGCGUGCCUAAUACAUGCAAGUAGAACGCUGAGGAGAGGAGCUUGCUCUUCUUGGAUGAGUUGCGAACGGGUGAGUAACGCGUAGGUAACCUGCCUGGUAGCGGGGGAUAACUAUUGGAAACGAUAGCUAAUACCGCAUAAAAUUGAUUAUUGCAUGAUAAUUAAUUGAAAGAUGCAACUGCAUCACUACCAGAUGGACCUGCGUUGUAUUAGCUAGUUGGUGAGGUAACGGCUCACCAAGGCGACGAUACAUAGCCGACCUGAGAGGGUGAUCGGCCACACUGGGACUGAGACACGGCCCAGACUCCUACGGGAGGCAGCAGUAGGGAAUCUUCGGCAAUGGGGGGAACCCUGACCGAGCAACGCCGCGUGAGUGAAGAAGGUUUUCGGAUCGUAAAGCUCUGUUGUAAGAGAAGAACGGGUGUGAGAGUGGAAAGUUCACACUGUGACGGUAUCUUACCAGAAAGGGACGGCUAACUACGUG